rnacentral:rRNA from 1 species
CUACGGGACGCUCCAGUGGGGAAUAUUGCACAAUGGAGGAAACUCUGAUGCAGCAACGCCGCGUGGAGGAUGACACUUUUCGGAGCGUAAACUCCUUUUAUAUAGGAAGAAGAUGACGGUACUAUAUGAAUAAGCGCCGGCUAACUCCGUGCCAGCAGCCGCGGUAAUACGGAGGGCGCAAGCGUUACUCGGAAUCACUGGGCGUAAAGAGCGUGUAGGCGGAUUAAAAAGUCAGAAGUGAAAUCCUAUAGCUUAACUAUAGAACUGCUUCUGAAACUCUUAAUCUAGAAUAUGGGAGAGGUGGAUGGAAUUUCUGGUGUAGGGGUAAAAUCCGUAGAGAUCAGAAGGAAUACCGAUUGCGAAGGCGGUCUACUAGAACAUUAUUGACGCUGAGACGCGAAAGCGUGGGGAGCAAACAGGAUUAGAUACCCUCGUAGUC